rnacentral:lncRNA from 1 species
AAAAGGAACAUUUUAUUGCAAGAGAUUACAGACCUGGCGCUAUGGCCACAUGUUUCCAUUACACCAAAAUUGCUACCCAUGGAUCAGGCAACAGCACCUACAAAUCACGGUGGAUUGAAAUAUCUGAAAUCAUAAUGCAGUCAGGUUUUUUUAAAGAAGUACCAUCCUAAAAGGAUUUAAAAAACAAAGUCAAAACUAUAUAAACCAAUUUAAUUUUAAAUAUUCAAAUGGUGUUUAAGUAUCCAGGGCAUUAACUACUGUGACAAAAAGUGGAAAAGUCUGUUAACCAUAGUGCUCAACUGAACAGGCUUUGCAUGCAACCUUUACCACUUAGAUAAAAGAACUUGGUAUUUGCUGUUCAUUUUCCCCACAUUUGUUCAGCCAACAUUUAUCUUCUGUAGGUUUUCAGAGUCAGGUAGAAGAUUUAAUGAGAAAUCCCUCUUUAAAGCACUAGUGAUAUACAGGAAAUCUAGAACCACAACUGGCCCAGAAAAAGCACUGGGAGUCAAAUCAGCUUUGCAGGCAAAGCUCUCCCCGUCUCAGACCCAUGAUGCUGACCUUUUCAAACUCUGGAUGGACGCACUUCUCUGAACCUCAACUCAUGAUUCACAUUCCUCCUGUGAUCCACUUACCUCAGAGACAUUGUUGAUUUCCGUGAGCGUGGCUGAAAAGGCAGGACCUUGAACAGACACAUAGCUCAAACACGGAAAGUCUGGCCCCAACUGUUACAAUCCCCACCUUUGGCACGUUAUGUGCUUGCUCUCCCUCCCCAGUGGCUGUUGUCUGGUCUGUGCUUUUUCUCCUAUAGAGGAGUCAGCAGCUCACUUUUGGCACCACUGUCUGGGUGAGAUGAACCCUGGGAAAGCAGAAGUUGGAUCUGUGGGCAGAACUGGACUGCCUCAGCCUGUGGGAGCAGCUCACCUAAUACAAUUCACGCAAUGCAUAGGAAGCAGUAUAUGGCAAACAGCAGCAAGUGCCCAUGGAUCUUUGUGAGCCAACAUUUGUUAUCCAUUUGCCUCCAUCUCCCAUUUUCCACACAUACAGCCUAAACACACUACCAAAAACUGCUACACCACUGCAGCCUUCAUCCCAAAGCAACCUACCUAACGUGAACAGACCAAUGCUUGUGUUUGUAUGUGCAGCUCUGUAAGUCCAGCCCCGUGGCACAGACUGACAUGGAGCCUCUCAAGCCACACAACUCAAAACAUGAGAUUCAUAUCAUAAAGCUUCUACCAGAUUAUUUAGAAUCUCUGUAACUCUGGAAAGGGGGAUUUUUUUUCUCCUUGUAGGUAGUGACAGAAGAUCUGUAUUUCCAAACAACAGAAACCAAGAAAACAGCCCCACAGACGACUAGAGGCUAAAGAAAGCUCAAGGGUAACUCAAUUACUAGUAGUUUUUAAAGAUCAUUCAGUCUGUAUCAACCAUAUAUGCAAUUAACUUAAUAAUCAGAAGAGUUCUGGAACUUCUGUAUGUAAUUCAAAUUACAUUGUCAAGGAUCUGAUGCAAGCCUGCCACUGAAAACUGCUGCUCCUCAUCGAAAGAAUCUCAUUUGGAAACUAAUCAGCCCUAAAGCUCCCUGCUCUUCAGACACAACCUUUUAGCAUUUUAGUGUUACACAAAACAGCUCACUAUUGGGAUUUAAUGAAUUAAAUAAUUCAGAAUUAACUAGGGUUUUUAUCAUUAUGAACCUAAUGGAGUUCCUUGCUAAUGCGAAAUUCCGC